rnacentral:rRNA from 1 species
UGCAAGUCGAACGAACUCUGGUAUUGAUUGGUGCUUGCAUCAUGAUUUACAUUUGAGUGAGUGGCGAACUGGUGAGUAACACGUGGGAAACCUGCCCAGAAGCGGGGGAUAACACCUGGAAACAGAUGCUAAUACCGCAUAACAACUUGGACCGCAUGGUCCGAGUUUGAAAGAUGGCUUCGGCUAUCACUUUUGGAUGGUCCCGCGGCGUAUUAGCUAGAUGGUGGGGUAACGGCUCACCAUGGCAAUGAUACGUAGCCGACCUGAGAGGGUAAUCGGCCACAUUGGGACUGAGACACGGCCCAAACUCCUACGGGAGGCAGCAGUAGGGAAUCUUCCACAAUGGACGAAAGUCUGAUGGAGCAACGCCGCGUGAGUGAAGAAGGGUUUCGGCUCGUAAAACUCUGUUGUUAAAGAAGAACAUAUCUGAGAGUAACUGUUCAGGUAUUGACGGUAUUUAACCAGAAAGCCACGGCUAACUACGUGCCAGCAGCCGCGGUAAUACGUAGGUGGCAAGCGUUGUCCGGAUUUAUUGGGCGUAAAGCGAGCGCAGGCGGUUUUUUAAGUCUGAUGUGAAAGCCUUCGGCUCAACCGAAGAAGUGCAUCGGAAACUGGGAACUUGAGUGCAGAAGAGGACAGUGGAACUCCAUGUGUAGCGGUGAAAUGCGUAGAUAUAUGGAAGAACACCAGUGGCGAAGGCGGCUGUCUGGUCUGUAACUGACGCUGAGGCUCGAAAGUAUGGGUAGCAAACAGGAUUAGAUACCCUGGUAGUCCAUACCGUAAACGAUGAAUGCUAAGUGUUGGAGGGUUUCCGCCCUUCAGUGCUGCAGCUAACGCAUUAAGCAUUCCGCCUGGGGAGUACGGCCGCAAGGCUGAAACUCAAAGGAAUUGACGGGGGCCCGCACAAGCGGUGGAGCAUGUGGUUUAAUUCGAAGCUACGCGAAGAACCUUACCAGGUCUUGACAUACUAUGCAAAUCUAAGAGAUUAGACGUUCCCUUCGGGGACAUGGAUACAGGUGGUGCAUGGUUGUCGUCAGCUCGUGUCGUGAGAUGUUGGGUUAAGUCCCGCAACGAGCGCAACCCUUAUUAUCAGUUGCCAGCAUUAAGUUGGGCACUCUGGUGAGACUGCCGGUGACAAACCGGAGGAAGGUGGGGAUGACGUCAAAUCAUCAUGCCCCUUAUGACCUGGGCUACACACGUGCUACAAUGGAUGGUACAACGAGUUGCGAACUCGCGAGAGUAAGCUAAUCUCUUAAAGCCAUUCUCAGUUCGGAUUGUAGGCUGCAACUCGCCUACAUGAAGUCGGAAUCGCUAGUAAUCGCGGAUCAGCAUGCCGCGGUGAAUACGUUCCCGGGCCUUGUACACACCGCCCGUCACACCAUGAGAGUUUGUAACACCCAAAGUCGGUGGGGUAACCUUUUAGGAACCAGCCGCCUAA